CUGACAUGUGGACAGCAGGGGGCAUAAUUUCAUCGUUUGUUGAGGUACCAGCUGAGAGGUCAGGGGGCGCUGGGACAAUACAGGAAGAAAACACUGCGCGCUGUUUGGCUGGGAAUGCUUGCUGCUGCUAUUGACGAUGAUGCCUCAUCCAGCCGAGGAGGACGACCCCAACCAGCCUCUGUGUGGCAACUUGUUUCCUCUUUCUGCUGUAAGGGAAUGAUCGAAGGCAUCAUCUUGCCGCUCUUUCCCUGAAUCCUCAAUCAUGUUCCUUUCGUCAAGAAUUUGUAAGAACAUAGAUGACUGGGUUCAACAUGGGAGGAAUGACAGAGAACAUAGAUGACUGGGUUCAACAUGGGAGGAAUGACAGAGAACAUAGAUGACUGGGUUCAACAUGGGAGGAAUGACAGAGAACAUAGAUGACUGGGUUCAACAUGGGAGGAAUGACAGAGUUACUGUGUAGUGGACACAGCAUGACUGCAGGCAGGAGAAGCAGGGAGGAGGAGAGGAAAACAACUAUACGGGAGUUCAGUGAAGGCAACGCAAGUACAAGUUCAUCUUUUAACUUUUUAAUGAUUUUUAGCAAAUAAAAAGUUCUCUUAUAUUGUGCUGUGAAAAAGAUAUUUUUUUAAAUUCAAAACUGUCCUUACAGUAAUGCAGCAUCUCAGUUUCUUUAGUGUGUCAUUUAAAAAGUACGAGGCCCAACACAUUCCCUCAAACUGCACUCCAUGUUCCGCGCUGUUUUUCCUGCUGCACUUAGGCCCACUGACCUCAAACUGGACAAGUGACUCAACACAUGGUAGACAUAAAAAAAAUUGAUGCAAUUCUGUUUUAUUUUUGUUGCAUUAAGACUUCAUCAGCUCGAAAGUUUAAGUGAGCGAAAAAUAAAGGAGCCAUUGCUUAUUCUCUUUCAGCUCAGCUGAUUCUGUCUCAACUGACAAGUAAAAUAAUCUGCUGUGAGUUCAUUUUGAGAGGCAUCAACAGACUUCAUCAAGCUCUAAUCUGUUGCCUGUCAACUCACAAGAAACACACUUCCACACACAGUUCAG